CAGCAGCCGCGGUAAUACGAAGGGGGCUAGCGUUGCUCGGAAUUACUGGGCGUAAAGGGUGCGUAGGCGGGUCCUUAAGUCAGGGGUGAAAUCCUGGAGCUCAACUCCAGAACUGCCUUUGAUACUGAAGAUCUUGAGUUCGGGAGAGGUGAGUGGAACUGCGAGUGUAGAGGUGAAAUUCGUAGAUAUUCGCAAGAACACCAGUGGCGAAGGCGGCUCACUGGCCCGAUACUGACGCUGAGGCACGAAAGCGUGGGGAGCAAACAGGAUUAGAUACCCCCGUAGUCCCUGUCUCUUAUAA
rnacentral:rRNA from 1 species